GAUGAACACUGGCGGCGUGCCUAAUACAUGCAAGUCGAGCGAACAGACUAGGAGCUUGCUCCUUUGACGUUAGCGGCGGACGGGUGAGUAACACGUGGGUAACCUACCUAUAAGACUGGGAUAACUUCGGGAAACCGGAGCUAAUACCGGAUAAUAUUUCGAACCGCAUGGUUCGAUAGUGAAAGAUGGCUUUGCUAUCACUUAUAGAUGGACCUGCGCCGUAUUAGCUAGUUGGUAAGGUAACGGCUUACCAAGGCAACGAUACGUAGCCGACCUGAGAGGGUGAUCGGCCACACUGGAACUGAGACACGGUCCAGACUCCUACGGGAGGCAGCAGUAGGGAAUCUUCCGCAAUGGGCGAAAGCCUGACGGAGCAACGCCGCGUGAGUGAUGAAGGUCUUCGGAUCGUAAAACUCUGUUAUUAGGGAAGAACAAACGUGUAAGUAACUGUGCACGUCUUGACGGUACCUAAUCAGAAAGCCACGGCUAACUACGUGCCAGCAGCCGCGGUAAUACGUAGGUGGCAAGCGUUAUCCGGAAUUAUUGGGCGUAAAGCGCGCGUAGGCGGUUUUUUAAGUCUGAUGUGAAAGCCCACGGCUCAACCGUGGAGGGUCAUUGGAAACUGGAAAACUUGAGUGCAGAAGAGGAAAGUGGAAUUCCAUGUGUAGCGGUGAAAUGCGCAGAGAUAUGGAGGAACACCAGUGGCGAAGGCGACUUUCUGGUCUGUAACUGACGCUGAUGUGCGAAAGCGUGGGGAUCAAACAGGAUUAGAUACCCUGGUAGUCCACGCCGUAAACGAUGAGUGCUAAGUGUUAGGGGGUUUCCGCCCCUUAGUGCUGCAGCUAACGCAUUAAGCACUCCGCCUGGGGAGUACGACCGCAAGGUUGAAACUCAAAGGAAUUGACGGGGACCCGCACAAGCGGUGGAGCAUGUGGUUUAAUUCGAAGCAACGCGAAGAACCUUACCAAAUCUUGACAUCCUUUGACCCUUCUAGAGAUAGAAGUUUCCCCUUCGGGGGACAAAGUGACAGGUGGUGCAUGGUUGUCGUCAGCUCGUGUCGUGAGAUGUUGGGUUAAGUCCCGCAACAAGCGCAACCCUUAAGCUUAGUUGCCAUCAUUAAGUUGGGCACUCUAAGUUGACUGCCGGUGACAAACCGGAGGAAGGUGGGGAUGACGUCAAAUCAUCAUGCCCCUUAUGAUUUGGGCUACACACGUGCUACAAUGGACAAUACAAAGGGCAGCGAAACCGCGAGGUCAAGCAAAUCCCAUAAAGUUGUUCUCAGUUCGGAUUGUAGUCUGCAACUCGACUACAUGAAGCUGGAAUCGCUAGUAAUCGUAGAUCAGCAUGCUACGGUGAAUACGUUCCCGGGUCU
rnacentral:rRNA from 1 species